rnacentral:rRNA from 1 species
AUGAAGGCCGGCCAUGAAGACGCGGCGGUGGAGAAGGACGCAGCGGUAGAAGCAGUGGAGAAGCCUGUUGUGGUCAUUGCCACCGCGGUUGGCGCGGCCGAGGGCGCCGUCGCGGCGACGGGAGGCGGUGCACCAUCUGCUGUGACUGCUCCGGCUGCCGUCGCAGCGGUCGAGCCUGCGGUCGGGGAGCAGGUGGAGGAGGAGGUGGCGGUGGAUCUGGAGGAGCAGAGGCUCAAGCGGAAGCGCGAGCAGUACGAGCUCAUCGACAAGAGCUACGAGGAGGCCCAUCUCGACGCUCAGGAAGUGCAAGACGAGGCCGUCGAGUUUGAUGAGGAGGUCGACGACGAGCUCUCGAAGGAAGAUGACGAAGACGUGGAUGAUAGUAAGGAGAGCAGGGACAGCAAGAGCCGCUACGUCCUCAGGAGGCUGCAGAAUGGGGAAAUCCCAUACCGCAGCGGAUACAACAGGCUCUACGGCAACAUAGCCUGCCCCUUCUGCUGCGCGAUUAUCAAGAGCGACUACAACAGCCUGAUCAUGCAUGGCACCUAUAUCAGUCGUGGUAAUGGGAGGAACCGCAAGCCCCACGUCCGGGCUAAACAUGCCGCUUUUGGUGCCUUCCUGUAA